rnacentral:rRNA from 1 species
GACGAACGCUGGCGGCGUGCUUAACACAUGCAAGUCGAACGAAGAGCGAUGGAAGCUUGCUUCUAUCAAUCUUAGUGGCGAACGGGUGAGUAACGCGUAAUCAACCUGCCCUUCAGAGGGGGACAACAGUUGGAAACGACUGCUAAUACCGCAUACGAUCUAAUCUCGGCAUCGAGGAUAGAUGAAAGGUGGCCUCUACAUGUAAGCUAUCACUGAAGGAGGGGAUUGCGUCUGAUUAGCUAGUUGGAGGGGUAACGGCCCACCAAGGCGAUGAUCAGUAGCCGGUCUGAGAGGAUGCACGGCCACAUUGGGACUGAGACACGGCCCAGACUCCUACGGGAGGCAGCAGUGGGGAAUCUUCCGCAAUGGACGAAAGUCUGACGGAGCAACGCCGCGUGAGUGAUGACGGCCUUCGGGUUGUAAAGCUCUGUUAAUCGGGACGAAAGGCCUUUUUGCGAAUAGUGAGAAGGAUUGACGGUACCGGAAUAGAAAGCC